UACGUAGGGGGGCAAGCGUUGUCCGGAUUUAUUGGGCGUAAAGAGCGUGUAGGCGGCUAGGUAGGUCCGUUGUGAAAACUCGAGGCUCAACCUCGAGACGCCGAUGGAAACCGUCUGGCUAGAGUCCGGGAAGAGGAGAGUGGAAUUCCUGGUGUAGCGGUGAAAUGCGCAGAUAUCAGGAAGAACACCCGUGGCUAAGGCGGCUCUCUAGUACGGUACUGACGCUGAGACGCGAAAGCGUGGGGAGCGAACAGGG
rnacentral:rRNA from 1 species